GUUACUCCAACAGGGAAAGUCCAAGAUACAACAGAUAAGAUGUCCCUACAACCAUCCAAACAGAUGAGGAAAGAGCUGAAGGAACCCCUGCAGACAAGAGAAGAGAUGGACAUAGAGCUUCAGUGGAAGGUGGCAAUUCCUGAAGGAAGCACUCCAUCUUCAAUGCGAGCCCCAGCUGCAGGAAGGAAGGCAAUGCCAGACACGGGCACAGGCACAGCAGACUGGGAUGCUGGGAAGGAUUCUCUAUUAGCCUGGCGCUCUGAAGUUGUGAAG